rnacentral:rRNA from 1 species
CGUUUGCCGGGAAAACCUGCGGCUUAACCGUGGGCGUGCGGUGGAUACGGGCAUCACUUGAGUUCGGUAGGGGAGACUGGAAUUCCUGGUGUAGCGGUGGAAUGCGCAGAUAUCAGGAGGAACACCAGUGGCGAAGGCGGGUCUCUGGGCCGAUACUGACGCUGAGGACCGAAAGCGUGGGGAGCGAACCGGAUU